rnacentral:rRNA from 1 species
GAUGAACGCUAGCUACAGGCUUAACACGUGCAAGUCGAGGGGUAACAAGAGAAAAGCUUGCUUUUCUUGUUGACGACCGGCGCACGGGUGAGUAACGCGUAUCCAACCUGCCUAUAACUAGGGAAUAACCUUGCGAAAGUAAGACUAAUGCCCUAUGACUUCCUUUGGCGGCAUCAAAAAAGGAAUAAAGAUUUAUCGGUUAUAGAUGGGGAUGCGUCUGAUUAGCUUGUUGGCGGGGUAACGGCCCACCAAGGCAACGAUCAGUAGGGGUUCUGAGAGGAAGGUCCCCCACAAUGGAACUGAGACCCGGUCCAAACUCCGACGGGAGGCAGCAGUGAGGAAUAUUGGUCAAUGGGCGGAAGCCUGAACCAGCCAAGGAGCGUGCAGGAUGACGGCCUUAUGGGUUGUACACUGCUUUUAUACAGGGAUAAAGUUAGCCACGUGUGGUUAUUUGCAGGUACUGUAUGAAUAAGGACCGGCUAAUUCCGUGCCAGCCGCCGCCGUAAAAC